CCAAGGCUCAUGGAGCAACGUGUGGCCGGGACCUGCUCCUGGCGCUGCCCCUGGCACAGACUCUACCCGAGAAAGCAGAAAGUGACAAGGACCCUCAGAGAAGAUGAGGGACCCACUUCGAGGCUCGGAGGCCCCGUGGGCUACCAGCCCACGGCUGCGAACCACACAGGAAGAGGCCUGGCCGCAUCCCCUCGUCCCCAAGACCACUUGCUGACCCUGCUCCCCGCUCCAGCCGCAAGACGGCCCCGUCCAGACACACGGAGGUGAAUAAGUCAUCAAACCACUUGGAAAAAUAAAAUCGCACAGAGCUUCACA
rnacentral:lncRNA from 1 species